CGGGGCAUAGCUCAGCCUGGUAGAGCGCUUGCUUUGGGAGCAAGAAGUCGCGAGUUCGAAUCCCGCUGCCCCGACCA
rnacentral:tRNA from 3 species